rnacentral:rRNA from 1 species
AUUGAACGCUGGCGGCAGGCCUAACACAUGCAAGUCGAGCGGAUGAAGGGAGCUUGCUCCUAGAUUCAGCGGCGGACGGGUGAGUAAUGCCUAGGAAUCUGCCUGGUAGUGGGGGAUGACGUCCGGAAACGGGCGCUAAUACCGCAUACGUCCUGAGGGAGAAAGUGGGGGAUCUUCGGACCUCACGCUAUCAGAUGAGCCUAGGUCGGAUUAGCUAGUUGGUGGGGUAAAGGCCUACCAAGGCGACGAUCCGUAACUGGUCUGAGAGGAUGAUCAGUCACACUGGAACUGAGACACGGUCCAGACUCCUACGGGAGGCAGCAGUGGGGAAUAUUGGACAAUGGGCGAAAGCGUGAUCCAGCCAUGCCGCGUGUGUGAAGAAGGUCUUCGGAUUGUAAAGCACUUUAAGUUGGGAGGAAGGGCAGUAAGUUAAUACCUUGCUGUUUUGACGUUACCAACAGAAUAAGCACCGGCUAACUUCGUG